rfam:Firmicutes bacterium CAG:822 genomic scaffold, scf49
AUUUGUAACGAUAGCGAAGUGGAUACACCUGUUCCCAUCCCGAACACAGAAGUUAAGCACUUCUACGCCGACGAUAGUGUAUGCGAAAAUAGGACGUUGCAAGUC